rnacentral:rRNA from 1 species
CCAGCAGCCGCGGUAAUUCCAGCUCCAGUAGCGUAUAUUAAAGUUGUUGCAGUUAAAAAGCUCGUAGUUGGAUUUCUGGUGUGGGGCGCCUGGCCCGCCGCGAUACGCGUGUGAGUGCUGGCGUGCCCCCGCCAUCCUUUCAGAGACCGUUUCUGCCCUUGAUUGGGUUGGAGACGUGGAUCUGGAUCUUUUACUUUGAAAAAAUUAGAGUGUUCAAGGCAGGCUCGCGCUGUGAAUACAUUAGCAUGGAAUAAUAACAUAGGACUACGGUUCUAUUUUGUUGGUUUCUAGGACUGAAGUAAUGAUUGAUAGGGAUAGUUGGGGGUGCUCGUAUUUAGCGGCCA